rnacentral:misc_RNA from 1 species
AAGUCGUAACAAGGUUUCCGUAGGUGAACCUGCGGAAGGAUCAUUACCGAAUUGUAAACACGAGUUGUUGCUGGCCCUCAAACGGGGGCAUACGUGCACGCUCUGUUCACACAUCCACUCACACCUGUGCACACCCCGUAGUUCUAUGGCCUGGGGGCUCCGUCCUCUUGCUGUGGUUCUAUGUCUUUACACACACACCGCAACGAAGUCUUAUGGAAUGUAUGCCGCGUUUAACGCAAUACAAUACAACUUUCAGCAACGGAUCUCUUGGCUCUC